CCACCACCACCCGCGCGCACGACCUCGCCACGGGGGCCCGCCCCAGCACGGCGCCCACGCAUCCGAACGCGGCCAGCGCCAACGUCGCCACGACGACCACCACGGCCACCCGCAGGUUGUAGCCCACGAUGAAGCCAGCAGCCAGCAGCGGUAGGAGCGCCCCGACGGAGAAAGCCAGCGCGGAGGCCGCGGCGGCCUGUGCCGGGCUUGGCAGUGCCUUCUCCUCGUCGCCGCCACGCUUUCCGGCCUGGUCCAGCUCCGCGAUCUCCACGUCCUGCUGGGAGCAGACGGACACGUACUCUCCGAUGGCCAUGCUGCACGCCCCGGCCAGUAGUCCCGCGAACCCGGACACGACCAUGGCGCGCGCGUCGGGCUUGACGGCGCUGACGCCGAGCAUGAGGGACGCCGUGGAGACCAGCCCGUCGUUGGCGCCCAGCACCGCCGCGCGCAGCCAGUUUGCGCGCCCCGCGAAGUCGAUGGACGACUCGGAGUCGUCGACGUUGCCGCACACCACAGCCGGGUUCUCAGCGUCGGCCACGGCGGCCAGCUUGGUGUCGUUCACGGCCAUGGCGACUAGGAGCUUGUGAGAUGGAUGGAGAUGGUUGGGUUCGCGGUGGUAGUAGCCGUAUGCAGUGGCAGGCAGCAGCAGCGUGGCGAACACACGCUCCCCUGGCGUGGUUUUAUAAUGAAUUUGAGGGUCGUGCCUUGUGUUCGUGUGUUGCUGUGGCAUUGCCGGUCUUCCUUUUCUCCGCUGGAGUUGGGAUUUCCAGCUUUCAUGCCGCUUUGGCUAGUGCGUACAUGCAGCCACACAUCCUUUCCCUUCGGUAUUGCGCGCCCGUGGCCACCACGAGCACACACCUACAUUAAUCGAUGCAUCGUGCUUGCUGAGUGUACAUCAUACCGAAGGCGUUUACAAUGGCUAGCGAUAAUGUGGUCGCUUGCUUGCUUGCUCCUACAUAAAAAUGGUUUUUAAUUUCAGUUUCAGAAUUUUUUUAGCUACACUCGAAAUAACUGAAUUUUAUUGAAUUUUAGUGAUAUUUCGUUAUCAUUUCGGUCAUGGUAGUACUAAAUUUUCCAUUUGAAUUUUAUUGAGAUCUAACCAAAUAAUUUGUGUGUAGUACUACCAAUAUUUUGAGAAACGAAUAAUCAUUCAAUGAACAUUAGUUCAUUCAAUUAAGCUUGCACGAAUCUUUACACUCAGAUUGGAUGGUUCUUGUAUAACGGACUCAAAAAUAUAGUCCCUUCGAUUCAAAAUAAGUGUCGCAGUUUUGAACUAUGGUUGAAGAAGUAUUUAUUUUUCAGAUGCAUGAGAAAUAGUGAAGCCGUUUCCUAAGAACACAAUUGACAUUGUUAAAAAGAAACUCCUUUGGAGAGAUUUGGAGAUGUUGGGGCUGUUUGGGUUGGAUCCCCUGCACGCCCAGCCAAUAUUUUGGCCUUAACCGAAGCAUUGCGCUUGUUUGAAAGGGAUCUAAAGUUUGGGCUCGCCAAGUCACCCUACCUUUUUUUUUGUACUUUUGCGCCAAUUCAUUGACGAAACUCGGGGCGGCCAAAUCGGCGACCAAUAUUUUGGUGCGCCCGCGACGCCCACGGGUUGGCGUGACGCUUUUGGGCAACUACCAAUCAGCCCCUACCUCUUAGCAUAUAAAAUGUGGACUCCAGACUCGCUAUAUGCUGAUCUUUUUCUAUCUUUCUUACUAUUAUAGCCAUUAAAAAUGCAUUUGAAAGAAGGUCGAAUUAACCCGAAAACGUGUUCCAAAAAUGGAUCUGGCCUAAAGUUUCAGGAUAUGUCCCAUCCAAGAUUUUAUCCAUCCAAUAGUAAACUCCAGUAAUUAUACCAAAACCGGCUUCCGUAAAAAUACGUAAUGGAAAUGUGGAUGUAUUGUCCACACUAAUGUUGUGGGUGGUUUCUUUCAUGAAAAUCGAUGAGAAUGCGUUGCUUCAAGAAAAUUGGCACUGGUGUCCAGGAUCAAUGCAGGCACCCCUAUACAACAUCAUGAGUAAUUCGCAGCACUCGAUGGCUGCCAGGACAACACCACACAAAGGAGGUAGAUACAACCUUCCGCAUCACGCUGUCGAAAGAGUAGACACAUGCUAGGCAUACUAUGAAAAUGGGUGCCAACUAUAUAAUCAUUAAUGUACUUACGGAAACAUGGAGGACGGGAGCCAAGGAGAGAGGCGCAAUGGCGGCGCAUGGGCAAAUGCUUGGAGGGAUGAUCGACCGUGAGGGCGAUAAUUAAGAUUUGGGCUGAUUUUCACUGGUUAUACAUGCGAUCCAUUAAAGGUAGUCAAAUAAAUUCUCCUAUAGCAACUCUAGUAGACCCCGCAAAACGCCCGGCCCGCAAAAAUCCCAGCGAGUAUGCGGGCUCGUCCCUAUUUUCUGGCCAGAACAGAGCCCGCAUACUCGCCCGGCCCGUAAAUUUUUUUGCCGCAGCCCGCAAACCGCACGCACCGAGCAGUAUAACUGCGGUUCGACGACCCUUUUGCGGCUUCAAACCCUAUCCCCCCGCCGCCACGAGCCACCCGAUUCCCCUUUCCCCUCUCGCAAUUUCUCACCGUUGGCGACCACCCGCCCUGCCUCCAGCCGCCAUGUGGGGGCAAACGUGGAGCUGCGGACGCGGCUCUGGCAGCAGAUCAGUCCGUGAGCGCGACCCGGAGCGCGAGCGGCGUCUCCAGGCGGACGGCGCGAGGAAGCGCGGCCCCCGGAGGUGGACCAACCGCGGGAUGUCGCCGCCGCCGAGCUUCAACCGCCGCGAGACGGGGGAGUACGACCGUCGUAGCGCGUCAUUCUCCUCCGCGAGAUCUUCCUACGCCGGAUCCUCCUCGUCCUCCGGCGCGGGCUUCCUCCCCGUGAAGAGGGAGUGGUCGGACGACGAGGUGGAGCCGGAAUCACCAGCUCCGUUCUCCUUCGUCCCGGUGAAGGAGCAGCCUGAGGAGUCCGCUCCGCUCGGCCGCAACGGAGUCGUCGGGCCCGAGGACUACGUUGCGGACUUCGAUGCCGUCGCCGCCGCAUCACCCAGCGGAGCGUGUGCGAGGAGGCGGAGCGCCGGCGCCACGCCGAGGAGCUCGAAGCCCAGCAGUGACAGCAGGCGGUUGCCGCCAACGACAAGGCUGAGGAGUGGCGCCGCAUCCGCGCGGAGCAGGCGGCGAAGUACAUCAAACUGUGCAGCUCCGGCGAGGAGGAUUGAGCGUCGCUCGGCCUCCACGGCGUCGUCCAUUUUGCCGCGACCUCGCCAUCGUCAGAUCCGACCCCCUCUAUUACUGGUUAAUGUAGCAUGUAGUAUGAUCUAUGCUUAGUUUGUUGAUCAUGUAGUAUGUAAGAACUGUGUAGUAUGUGAUGUGAUGAACUAGGUUUGUGCAAUUUCUCCUGUGAAAUUGUUUUUUAAAUUAUGGAAGUUUAAAUGCGGUAUCUGAUCGGCGGCGCAUGUUUUCGACCCGCAAACACGAUCUUCGUGAAACCGCAAACGCGUUUUGCGGGUCGAAUUUUAGCGGGGUCUGCUAGAGUUGCUCUAAGCAACCCCUACCUCUUAGCAUAUAAAAUGUGGACUCCAGACUCACUAUAUGCUAAUCCUUUUCUAUCUUUCUUUCACAUUAUAGCCAUUAAAAAAUGCAUUUGAAAAAAGGUCGGAUUUCGAGAACGUGUUCCAAAAAUGGAUCUGGCCUAAAGUUACAGGAUAUGUCCCAUCCAAGAUUUUAUCCACCCAAUAGUAGAAUCUGGUAAUUAUACCAAAACCGGCUUCCGUAAAAAUACGUAAUGGAAAUGUGCAUGUAUUGUCCACACUAAUGUUGUGGGUGGUUUCUUUCAUGAAAAUCGAUGAGAAUGCGUUGCUUCAAGAAAAUUGACGCUGGUGUCCAGGAUCGAGGCAGGCACCCCUAUACGACAUCAUGAGUAAUCCGCAACACUCGAUGGCUGCCAGGACAACACCACACAAAGGAGGUAGAUACAACCUUCCGCGUCACGCUAUCGGAAGAGUAGACACAUGCUAGGCAUACUAUGAAAUAGGGUGCCAACCGGAUAAUCAUUAAUGUACUUACGGAAACAUGGAGGACGGGAGCCAAGGAGAGAGGCUCAAUGGCGGCGCAUGGGCAAAUUCUUGGAGGGAUUUUAGACCGUGAGGGCGAUAAUUAAGAUUUGGGAUGAUUGUCACUGGUUAUACAUGUGAUCCAUUAAAGGUAGUCAAAUAAAAUAUCCUAGAGCUAGGGCGGCCUCCGAGAUUAGGCCUCGCUAUGGAGUAAGAGUAACUCUAGCAGAUGAUCCAUAUGUGGCCGAUCGCUAUAAUAACCGCUAGCAUGUCGAUCAUCACACAAAAUGAUACUCUAGAAAGUCGUCAUAUGUGCAGCGAUAGCCGUAUGUCGUGGACAUCGCUGCAAAAACGACCACAUAGCCUCCAAAUAUGGAGGCUGUGACAGCCAUGUUUGCAGGUCGCUCCAAACCCAACUGUUAGCACGGGAGCGAAGUUUCAUCUUCUUCCUCCUCACGCUAUAUGCAGGAUUUAAAGCAACAUGACCACCAGCCAGGGGAGGGGGCGGGAGCAUGACCGUCAACCACAUGGCAAAAAUAUGACACUGCUGCUUGCUCAGAUUCCAAUGGCAACCCACCACGCAUCACCAUCUCCUAGCUUAUUUGUGAGACUAGGAGGCGUGCGAGCAGGUCAGCAACCGCGUAUAAAAGCGACCCUUGAUGGCCGCCUACCGCCUUCCCAACUACCCAUUUGAUAAAGCCCACGAUGUCUUAUACUGGUGCCUCCCCUUUCUCCCUCAUUUGUUCCUCCCUCGAGUGCCUCCCAAUCCCGUCCCGCACGCCUCCAAUCCACCACUUCAUCGUCCAUGGCGAAGUGGAAGGAGCUCCCCGUCAUCUUCAGUUUCGAGGAUGAGGAGAAACACUCGGACCCAUUGGUCCCCUUUUGGGACUUGUACGAUGUAGUGGUGCAGGAGGGUCGGAAGGGGGACGCGGAAAGGGAGCGGUGGAUUUGGGACCGUGCGACCGGCCCUGUCGCCAAUGCAUAGUCGGCGUGGGACAAGCACGCCAAGAUCCUUCCGAGCCAUCGAGGCCCGCAGAUGCCUCUGCCGAUGCAUGGAUGUCCUUGGUCUUUCCCACAUAAAUGCCGUGUCAUAUCUUUUCAAACAAUAGGGCAUGCACGGAGAAGAAUUAAAAUCACCUGGCACCUACGUAAAUUCUUUUACGUACUCCCUCACUUCCUUUUAGUUUGCAUAUAAGGUUUGGUCAAAGUCAAACUUUGUUAAUUUGACUAAGUUUAUAGAAAAAUAUAUCAAGAUUCACAAUAUGAAAUCAAUAUGGUUAGAUGCACCAUGAAAUAAAUUUUCAUACCAUAUAGCUUUAGUAUUGUAGAUGUUAAUAUUUUUUUCUAUAAAGUUGAUCAAAUUUUAUAAAGUUUGACUUUGACCAAAUUCUAUAUGCAGACUAAAAAGAAACGGAGGAAGUAUCUUACGUACAGGCUUAUGUGGAAAGGUUUGAUUGGAAAAGAAAAGGAAGGGGGCCCCACCCCUGAAAAUCAGGGGGGCUGAUUAGUUAUGGCUGGAAGGUUUUUGGUAGCUUUUCGUAAAGAAAUACGUAGGUGUAGCAUUUUCAUGGUACUAUAUAGUAGUAGUACGGUGUACGAGUUUAUUGGUUCAAAAAAAAGUACGGUGUACGAGUUCAAACGUUUUCAUUUGCCGUUUGAUUACAAUUACAAGGAAGAAAAUAAGUCAGACCAGGUACAAGAAAAUAAGUCGGCUAGUACUGGACACUUUAUUCCGAGAAGAGUAUGGACGAUGCCCGCACAUGACCUACGCACGCGAGGACGGCGACGAAGACCAUGUCAGUUUCUCAUACGCCGCUGGCUCGGAAGAGCCUCAUGAACCCAAAGGUGACGGCCAUGGCAGCCAGUCCGCCCACCACCACCCGCGCGCACGACCUGGCCACGGGGGCCCGCCCCAGCACGGCGCCCACGCAUCCGAACGCGGCCAGCGCCAACGUCGCCACGACGACCACCACGGCCACCCGCAGGUUGUAACCCACGAUGAACCCAGCAGCCAGCAGCGGUAGGAGCGCCCCGACGGAGAAAGCCAGCGCGGAGGCCGCGGCGGCCUGUGCCGGGCUUGGCAGUGCCUUCUCCUCGUCGCCGCCACGCUUUCCGGCCUGGUCCAGCUCCG
rnacentral:lncRNA from 1 species